UGGGGUGUAGCCAAGCGGCCCAAGGCAUCGGACUUUGACUCCGACAUCGAUGGUUCGAGUCCAUCCACCCCAGCCA
rnacentral:tRNA from 1 species